rnacentral:rRNA from 1 species
UACGGAGGGUGCAAGCGUUAUCCGGAUUCACUGGGUUUAAAGGGUGCGUAGGUGGGCAAGUAAGUCAGUGGUGAAAUCUCCGGGCUUAACUCGGAAACUGCCAUUGAUACUAUAGGUCUUGAAUUAUCUGGAGGUGAGCGGAAUAUGUCAUGUAGCGGUGAAAUGCUUAGAUAUGACAUAGAACACCAAUUGCGAAGGCAGCUCACUACGGAUAUAUUGACACUGAGGCACGAAAGCGUGGGGAUCAAACAGG